rnacentral:rRNA from 1 species
UACGAAAGGGGCUAGCGUUGUUCGGAAUUACUGGGCGUAAAGCGCACGUAGGCGGCCUUGUAAGAUGGGGGUGAAAUCCCCGGGCUCAACCCGGGAACUGCCUUCAUGACUGCAAAGCUAGAGGAUGCGAGAGGUUAGCGGAAUUCCGAGUGUAGAGGUGAAAUUCGUAGAUAUUCGGAAGAACACCAGUGGCGAACGCGGCUAAAUGGCGCAUUUCUGACUGUGAGGUGCGAAUGAGUGGGGCGCAAACAGG